rnacentral:misc_RNA from 1 species
UGCACACAAGAGGCUUAUUACAUCACCACCGGUUGCAGUCUUUCCACAUCCUCUUGCAACUGAUCUUACCUUCCCUAGAUAUUGGAAUUAUUUGAGGAAGCAAACAUUUGUACUCGAAUCAUAUACAACAAAGGUGAACUGGAUCAUGAAUCGGGCUUUAUUUACAUCCCACUGCUAUCUGUCUUGGGGUUUUGUAUCUCCAUACAUCAUGGCGGGGA